UGGUCUGGACACUCAGGUGAAGUCUCUCUAGGGGGUAAAGGACAAGGGGCUGGACAGACUGUAGGAGGUAAAGGACAGUGGUCUGGACACUCAGGUGAAGUCUCUCUAGGAGGUAAAGGACAAGGGGCUGGACACUCAGGUGAAGUCUCUCUAGGGGGUAAAGGACAGUGGUCUGGACACUCAGGUGAAGUCUCUCUAGGAGGUAAAGGACAAGGGGCUGGACACUCAGGGGAGAAAGGACAGACGGGUCCAGGCAAAGGGAGAGAGACAGGUGGAGUGCGCAGUCCAGGUUGUCAGAAUGACUCCGGUGGGGUGUUUAGUGCCCCACUGACGCCGGUCGCAGGAGGAGUCCCGGAGGUCCCGUCUGGCCCUGCAGGAGGCCUGGAGGGGGAGUGGGAGUCCCAGUACCAGGUUCCCCUGGUGCACACCGUCCAAGUGGUGGACACCGAGGCGGACGCCGCUCAGGUAACAGCCCUGUUCACACUCAUAAUCCAAAACAGAGCGCAGCGAUACAACCGCGGUCUAGCCCAGGAGUACAGAAGAGAUGAAGAUAAUGUUGUACAGUACAAUCCCCUACAGCUCGGCGCGGUAGCCUGUUGUACAAUAUAGUGCUAUGCUACUUGGACACAAGGACAUACUGUGCAGUACGGUCCGGAAAUCUACAGGGCAGGAUAGAUGCACGCGAUACAGAAUGAUGCAACCGUGAGGCGCAGCAUAACGUGGUCCUGAACCACAGUAUCCUGGAGCAGCGUCAUCCCCUCACCUAAACACAUCACGACAAAGUACCAGAGCCACUCCUGCCUGUGUGUAAAUAUCCCGCCUCUUGAGGGAUCCCAUCUCUUCUUCCUUCUGCGGUGGGGGGGUGUAGUGCCCUGUUACUGGGAUAACGGCCAGUCUGCAAGAACAGGGCUGUCAGAAACCCCCCCAACCCUUACAGCUGCCUCCCUCGUUCAUUCCUUGUAACUGGGGGUGGGGUGGGGCUGUAAAACCGCCAAACCUUCGGCCCCGGCUGAAAGGCAACUUCUGAAAAACCUUAGGAAGACCAGCUUAUAUCCCUGUGCGUCUCUUAAUUAAUUCAAAAGUGAAACAAAUGUAUUUUUAAAUGGUUAGAUCUGAGAUUUCUAUACUGUCAAAAGGGUUAACGUAAGCAAUCUCUUCACAGGUCGGUGAAGGCAGUUCAGAAGAGUAUGAGGAAGAAAACAGGACAUUUUCCACUGUCAGUGAAGACGGUACCAUAACCAGAACCACUAUCACAAGAGAAGGGGACACUGUGACUACUACGACAGAGACCACAAAAGAUGGAAAGACGGAAAAAACUGUGAAAAAAUCCAGAGCGAAAAGCCCACACAACUGUGUAUUCAGAAGACACGGGAAAAACAAAGGAAAGGGAGAAUUCCCAAAAGUCACCGAAGAAACAGUGUGGAAAAAGAUGGAGGUCAAUAACGACAGGAGUGUGACAAUCACAACAACAGACAAAAAACAAGGCGUUACUACGAUAACUACUGAAACAGUCAACGGGGCGACGAUCGACACCACACCAAGUACUACAAAGAUAACUUAUGUGGUUAAUGAAGAUGGCACCACCACCACAAUCACCGAGACAAAGAAAGGAGACACUACCACAAUCAUCAUAAAAGUUACAAAGGGGGACACCACUGAAAUAACCACAGAAAUUAAGAAAGGCGAAGAGCCCGUAAAGAAAUUUAAGGAAACAAGAAAGACGUCCACA
ensembl:lincRNA